AAAAAGAAAAAGCAUCUAAAAAAGUAAAAAAAAAAAUGUUCUUCAUCUUGACUGGAUUUUUUUACCACUCUCAAACGUCUCUCACUCUCAAUUCUGAGACUCAAACUCUCUCUUCUCUUUCACUUUCACUUCCACUAGCCCACUAGAGUCUCUCUGUCUCACUGGAGUCUGUCUCAGUCACACUUGCUGGCGCCUCGUCGUUCGCCUCGCCUCAUCGCUGGGGUCUCGUUGCGGCCUUCCCUGGGCUUCUCGUCGUCGGCGACAGAAGCAACUCGUCGGGUCGUUGUGGCUUGUAGUCUUCUGGUUUCGGGUCCUCGCCGUCGCCGACGCCGUCGCUCAUCGCUUGGGUUUCAGGUAUUUUUAGGAAUUCUUUGCACAGGAGGCGCGCCACUGGUGAAAAGGUAGUCUGGAGGAAGAAGAGAAAGUAUGCUUUCACUCUUCUUCCAAUUCUCUGUGUUUUCCUUAAUUUUUGUUUUUUUUUCCGAAGUGCCUUAGUUUCUGUUAGUUUCAAAAUCAAAUUCCCCCAAAUUUCAACGCUCGUCCGAAUUUCAACCCAAAUCCGUGGUCCAUAUUCAAUCCUCUGUCUGAAUUUCACAUUUAUUUUUUAGUUGUUUUUAUGAAGAUUCAUUCAUUUGUGCUAAGUGAUUUCAAUUAGUUUGUAAGUUUUUAUUACUGCAGAACUAACUUUCAGACAAAAAGGCCAAGUUCCUAAUUGUUUACAAGUGAUUAUAUUCCCUGUACAAAGUGCACAGAAUAUAAGAACUUAAGUAAUACUUUAUGUCACUAUCUAGCUAUUUUUUGUAAAAUGAGUUGAGGAACUUUAAUUUGCUUUUAAAAUAAUAAAAAUAAUUUCCAGCUAUAUAGAGCAGACCAAAAAAUACUUAAUAUACUAAUCUAAUUCCUUUGAACAAACUAGGGUCCCUGUGCUUGAAAAUUUUCCGUUUGAUGUUAACCGACGUAGACUUAAUUAUUUAAGUGUCAUUCUCUGUUCCUGCAUGUGCUUUCUUUCUUUCUUUUUAUCCGUGCCUAUAUUGUGAGUUUUAACACUGUAUGAUAGCACCAUAGAUUUUUGUGAAGAGUAUAUAAUAGAGAGAGGCCACUUGAUGUAUAGUGUAACUCAUUGUAGAGAGAAGGCUAUGAUUCUGAUUUCUUCUUUUAUGAUCAAUAACAAAUCACAAAACUUAAUUCCUUUUUUUCUAUAGUUUAUUGCUUUCUAUCUUUCUAAUUCAAGAUAGUUCCACUUAGUUUUCUUGCCAAAACUGAUAAGCAGCAACUCCAUGACCUGCCAGUUGUAACGAAUUUUAUUUAUAAUACCUAGCAGCCUCUUGAGUAUUUCUCUGACUUCUUUUAUGUUGGUGCAUUAGUUCUUUUAAUCAGCAUUGUAGAACUUGAAAGUGAGUUUGGCAUUUUUCUAUCAGAUAGAGAAGUACUUAUUUAUUUGCUACUCUAUUAAACUUGAAAGUAUCAUGUGUAAUUUAAACCUAUGCUUGCAGAUGAAUCAAUUUCUUGGAGGUGGUAUCCUUGACUACUCUUCAGGAUCAUUGCCACUUGGACUGCACAAUCAUAUAGAACUCCCUUCAAACAAAAGUUCUUAUUAUAAACACACAUUUAAUGCUUUCUUGACUUUUUCUUCUAGUUGAGUAGGUUUUGUAAGGCAUAUUUUACUUUAAUUUCAUAUAGGCAUUUGAUUUGUUAUAGUUGAUGCCUUGAUGCUAUUAAGGUCAAUGAUUGAUUCAGUUCUUAGCUAUUGAUUUUUCAAAAAGAAUUUGCCGGAAAAAUUUCUUUGCUGAGCUAUUGAUUCAGUUCUUGGCUAUUGAUUUUUGUUGUUGGAUCUCAACAACAAAAGGUUCAAUUCUGACAUUGGCGUACAUGGCCAAGCAAAUGUUCCAUCAUUUGCGACUCAUCAUGAUGUUCAUCCACCAGCACUACCUAUGCAUUUGUUUCAAGGUGUUCUUUCCAAGGGCAAUAUGCUAACUUACAACCAAGUCAUGGAAGUAAGUUGCAAGAAAUUUCAGAAGGAUAGUACUGAUGACUCAAACCAUCGUUCAGGAUCAAAUGCAUCAGACAAUAAGCCUUUUUAUAACUUCUUAGAAGUUAAGGAUCCAGAGUGGGGGAAGGAUGCACCUGGAUGGAUCACAUCUCGGGCGGCGCGAAGCAGGACGCUACGGCCUUGAUCUUAGCUUGAAGCUUUGAUUCUAGCAGGAAACUGUGAAUCAGUAACAAUGGCUAUUAUGAGUAUGCAUUUAUAAUGGUUUUCUGCUUGAAAUCCAACAAUGUUAACAAGCUAAGAAAAAGUGAAUAGUUUCCUAGUCUUGGUUGAGGCCAAGGUAACUCGGAAUUAAAGAUAGAAGGGACUUGUUACAUUGGAGACCAUGCCUUUGGAUUCAAGGAAACUGGAAAUCAAAGAUAAGAAGAAAUCUUGCAUGGGGAUUUCAUUUGACCUAUCUUAAUUUCGAUAGUUAUGGUUUUAUUUUAUUUGAGACUUUUAAUUUGGUUACAUUACAUGUAAUUCUAUAGUUGCUCUAUAGUCUUAGUAAUGAAAUUUUAAAUUCGAUGACA